rnacentral:lncRNA from 12 species
AUGAGAGACACACACAGAGACAGGCAGAGACACAGGCAGAGGGAGCAGCAGGCUCCGUGCAGGGAGCCCGACGUGGGACUGGAUCCCAGGACCCCGGGAUCACGACCUGAGCCAAAAGCGAACGCUCAACCGCUGAGUCACCCAGUGUCCCCAGAGAUUUCAUUUUGUCAGUCGGUGGGUAGGAGCCGUGUCCCAGGGGCUCUGGAGCGCACGCCCUGGUUGCGGUGCCCGGCAUCUUGCCACACGUGGGUCCUACUCGGUUUCCUCUUCCAUUACACGCCUUCUCUUCUACGGGGCGUUUGCCUUGAGAAGGGAAACUUGGUAGGAACCGCAUCCAAAUGUGACAGUGGUUUGACAGGGAAGCUGGACUCCCUCGCCCCCAGGAACAGGACGCCUAACUCGGGAGCCUGCUCUGCUGGAGGAAGCAGGAGGGCAGUGGGAGCUGAUCCCGCCCACAGGCCACGGCGAUUGGCCCGGGGUGAGCAUGUGCCCCAAGCUGGGCCAAUCAGAGCUCCCGCGAGGUCCCCGGGCCUGGAGCGGUCUUUCCUGCCGCAGCCUCGGGGGGAUGGAGCCGCCCGACCCGGGACAGGGCUGAGGGCGGGGACGGGUCCCGCGCCGGCCCGCCCUUGGGGUCGCCAAGUAACGGCUUCCCUCCCGCCUGCCUGGGCUCCAGGCGGCGGCCCCUCACGUGCCACCAAAAGGGCUCUGAUAACGGAACCCUCGUCCUCGUGCUUCAGGCCCGUAGGUUACCACCUAGAAACAGAAAUUAAACAGCACGUGUAUUGCCGACUCGUACUGUCCCUCUUCCGUGAGGGCUUCUCCGAUCGCGCGGCCCAAGCCCUGACCAGCGGCUGUCAGAGCUGGGGCCUGGCCCCGGGCAGCCCUGGGCUCCUGUCCAGGGGAAGGGCCCAAUGGAGACGGGCAGCGGGGGGACACGCGCGUGGGCUCCGGCCGCCACUGACCUGCGCAGCCGUGGGGGUGAGGCCCGCCUGGCCGGAAACCAGCCCCGCCGGGGCACCCCCCUCCCCCGCCCCGCCCCCCCCAGCCUGCCCAGCGUCACCUGAUGCCCAGCCUCUGGCCUCUUAG